UUCAUUGGCGAGUGAGUGCGUGCAGCGUUUUGGAAGUGGUUUCCGCUCCUGUCGUUGUUGUGCAUUUGCUUGCUGGUGCCCUGUGCUGUGGUGGGACGUCAGAGUCAGUUUGUAUGUUGCGGGAAAUGAUUAUUAGGGAGGUAGGUCGCUUCGGUGGCUGUUAUAUCCUGGUAAUUAGUCGUCGUGGCUGAGACUGAGGUGCCUACAACGCGCUUUCGAGUCUGCGGGUUUCUCGUGUGGCUGUUUGCUCUGAUAGCUUGCUAUGUUUGUGAAUAAGUCGUACGAUUGAGACCUGUAGUAACUUGUUGCCGUUCGGGACUUUGACGAAAUGGAGCGAUCUGACCCGUCUUGAAACACGGACCAAGGAGUCUAACAUGUGUGCAAGUGUUAGGGUGUGGAAACCCCAGCGCGAAAUGAAAGUAAAGGACAGCCUAGCUGUCUGAGGUAGGAAUCCUUUGUUUACAGGGGAGGCACUAUCGACCGAUCAUGAACCUUCGUGGUGAAAGAUUUGAGUUUGAGCACAUAUGUUGGUACCCGAAAGAUGGUGAACUAUG
rnacentral:rRNA from 1 species